rnacentral:tRNA from 1 species
AGGGAUAUAGCUCAGUAGUAGAGCACUUGAUCUAGCAUGUGUAAGGCUCUGGGUUCAACCCCCAGUACUCUCG